UGGGGAAUAUUGGACAAUGGGGGCAACCCUGAUCCAGCCAUGCCGCGUGUGUGAAGAAGGCCUUAGGGUUGUAAAACACUUUCAGCGGGGAAGAUGAUGACGGUACCCGCAGAAGAAGCCCCGGCUAACUCCGUGCCAGCAGCCGCGGUAAUACGGAGGGGGCUAGCGUUGUUCGGAAUUACUGGGCGUAAAGGGCGUGUAGGCGGCCUGCCAAGUCAGAUGUGAAAGCCCCGGGCUUAACCUGGGAACUGCAUUUGAGACUGGCCGGCUAGAGGUUGGAAGAGGAGAGUGGAAUUCCCAGUGUAGAGGUGAAAUUCGUAGAUAUUGGGAAGAACACCAGUGGCGAAGGCGGCUAACUGGACCGACACUGACGCUGAGGUGCGAAAGCGUGGGGAGCAAACAGGAUUAGAUACCCCAGUAGUCCCUGAGCGGGCUGGCAAGGCGCAU
rnacentral:rRNA from 1 species